CUGUUUACUAAUGAUCUUGAUAAAGGAGAAGUUAAAUAGUUCAUAACACGUUAUUCAUUCUUGUUGGCUUGUUGGUGGUGCUACUCAGAGUACUAACAUCACUGACAUGCAAAAAAAUUGAGGAAGCCGGAAAAAUGAACAUGAACAUGAACCAAUGCUGUGAGAAAAUGUGUCACGAGCAGCAGAGAUUGGGGAUGCUUUUAGAAACGACAAGUAAUAGAAUACUUGUUUCCAAUCCUAGGAAGUAACUUUAUGAGGCAUUGUUGAGCAGUUCAGUUGAAUCUAUUUAGCAUCUAUACAGAGGAAAAUAUAUCAGUGUUUGAAUGGUGAUUGUUGUUUUUUACUCCACUCAUUUUGAAGGCAUGAAGUGUUAGUUUAGUGCCUUCCUUGGCCUUAACCGCCCCUGCUCCUCAAAUGGUUCAUGAUUCGUCGAAGGGUAUUUUUUUCGCCUCUCAUCGCAUCAUUUUUGGUGAGGAAUAUUGCAAUGUUUAUGUAGUGAGCCUGGGCCACAUCCGUCAGCUGUAUAGUAUGGUCAUACAUCAGGUAAGACGAUAUACAGCACUUAUGGAAGAGGACACUUGUGCUGUAGUGGUAGCUGGUGUAAGUUCCUGUGGAGGCAUUUCGCCAACAAUUGGAAAUUUAGUAGUUUGUAUAUGGAAAAGUGCAACGUAAAUGAUGUAAGAGAUGAACU